rnacentral:lncRNA from 1 species
AGAGAGUUCACAAAAGACCAUCAAAUUCAUCCUCACUGGUGCCCAUCGGGUGGUUACUCAUACUUCGCCACCCGAUGGCACCAAAAUAAUACCCCCAUUGUGUUUUGCUUUGCAACUAGCCCCACUAGCAGGGUGGUGCAGGUCAUAAUCUGCACAAGGGCCUCACAACAGAACUACUUACAACAUUUGUCCUACACCACCCCACACUUACUCCUUCACAUAUUUUCAAAUAAUCACAACAUCCC